rnacentral:rRNA from 1 species
CACGUAGGCACCAAGCGUUGUCCGGAUUUAUUGGGCGUAAAGAGCUCGUAGGCGGUUCGAUAAGUCGGGUGUGAAACCUCCAGGCUCAACCUGGAGACGCCACCCGAUACUGUCGUGACUAGAGUCCAGUAGGGGAGCGUGGAAUUCCUGGUGUAGCGGUGAAAUGCGCAGAUAUCAGGAGGAACACCAGCGGCGAAGGCGGCGCUCUGGGCUGGAACUGACGCUGAGGAGCGAAAGCGUGGGGAGCGAACAGG